GACAGAGGUUGCAAACGUUGUUCGGAAUCACUGGGCAUAAAGCGCACGUAGGCGGUCUACUAAGUCAGGUGUGAAAGCCCCCGGCUCAACCGGGGAACAGCAUUUGAUACUGGCAGACUCGAGGAUGGUAGGGGUGAGUGGAACUCCAGGUGGAGCGGUGAAAUGCGUAGAUAUCUGGAGGAACACCGGUGGCGAAAGCGGCUCACUGGACCAUCACUGACGCUGAGGUGCGAAAGCUAGGGUAGCAAACGGG
rnacentral:rRNA from 1 species